rnacentral:tRNA from 1 species
GCUUUUAAAGGAUAGAAGUUAUCCAUUGGUCUUAGGAGCCAAAAAUUUGGUGCAACUCCAAGUAAAAGCU